rnacentral:tRNA from 1 species
GGCAUGGUGUAGUGGUUUGAGUGUUGGACUAUGACUCUGAAGAGCAGGGUUUGAAUCCCCGCUCUGCCA